rnacentral:rRNA from 1 species
GACGAACGCUGGCGGCGUGCUUAACACAUGCAAGUCGAACGGAAAGGCCCUGCUUGCAGGGUGCUCGAGUGGCGAACGGGUGAGUAACACGUGGGUGAUCUGCCCCUUACUUUGGGAUAAGCCUGGGAAACUGGGUCUAAUACUGGAUAGGACCAUGCUGUAGGUGGUGUGGUGGAAAGAUUAGUUUCGGUAAGGGAUGAGCUCGCGGCCUAUCAGCUUGUUGGUGGGGUAAUGGCCUACCAAGGCGUCGACGGGUAGCCGGCCUGAGAGGGUGGACGGCCACAUUGGGACUGAGAGACGGCCCAGACUCCUACGGGAGGCAGCAGUGGGGAAUAUUGCACAACGGGCGCAAGCCUGAUGCAGCGACGCCGCGUGGGGGAUGACGGCCUUCGGGUUGUAAACUCCUUUCAGCCAUGACGAAGCCCUUGUGGUGACGGUAGUGGUAGAAGAAGCACCGGCUAACUACGUG